rnacentral:rRNA from 1 species
CAGUAGGGAAUCUUCGGCAAUGGGGGCAACCCUGACCGAGCAACGCCGCGUGAGUGAAGAAGGUUUUCGGAUCGUAAAGCUCUGUUGUUAGAGAAGAACACGAGUGAGAGUAACUGUUCAUUCGAUGACGGUAUCUAACCAGCAAGUCACGGCUAACUACGUGCCAG